UAGAAGAUCUUCCCCUUCCAGAGACACAGCUGAUCCCACCGCUUGCUGGUCCAUAGUCAAAAGGCAGCAGGCAGGCAACCAGGCUCCUCCAAUGCACAGUGGCGAGAUUGGUCUCGUCACACAUGCCUAGUGAUUUAUUGAACUGCAGGGGCGUUGAUCCAUUGGGUAGAAAUGUUAUCUGUGUUGGAAGCUUUGACAAUAGAUCUCAUCCUAGAAG